ensembl:lncRNA
CAUCAGCAAGCAGCUCCCUGUCCAGACCAUCCAUUAGUUCCUGUUCCCUAGGGCCUUCCUGGUGUCCUGACCAUUCUGAGACUGAUUCUUCUGAUUCUAACCCAACCAACAGCUUUGGUGCCUGAAGAACUCUGGGUCAUCAAAGAUGGUGCAGAAACAGGAUCAGAGGCCGGGGAGACCCAACAAAGACCUCAGUGAACUGGAGAACUCAACAAGCCCUGGGGACAUGGAGAUGCCGAUUUGAACAAAGGAGACGAUGGGUAGCAUUUUUAAGGUGAAGUUGCCCCGAGCUGUAUGUCCAUUCUGAUCUUCUCUCCUGAACUGCAGAUCCAGAUAAUGAAAC